CAAGAUAUAGCUUAAACAAAGCAUGUAGUUUACACCUAGAAGAUUCCACAGCCCGUGUAUAUCUUGA
rnacentral:tRNA from 1 species